AAAUUGCCUUCUUUGGCCAUCCAAUAGCCUACAUUGCUCCAAGUUGUUUUGGUCAACCCAAUGCAUUGAUGAUUCAUGUGGUGAGCUAUGUGGAUAAAAUGAAUAUCAUUCUAUCAGUUGAUGAAAGUACAGUCCCUGAUCCUCACCAGCUGUUUGAUGACCUUGAAGAGUCUUUCAACCUCAUCAAGAAUGUUGUGAUGGCUAGAGACUAAACUCCACAGAAUGUCAUGUAGCAAGGGCUAGGGUCAAUGUAAUUAAUAUAUAUAAUGUUCUGAAAUCAUUGUCUUAAGGUUCCUGCAAUAAUGAUGUUGUAUUAGAUGGCUCUCUACUAAAUAAAAAUGCCUCUCUACUGUAUUUUUAUCUUAAUUCAAGUUCAUAUUUUUUGGACUUUAUUUCAUUUUUAUUUACUGUAUUUUGA